rnacentral:ncRNA from 1 species
AUGGCAGCAGUUCGAAAAAUCCUGCUUUAAAAAACUAAGGAGAU